AACGAACGCUGGCGGCAUGCCUAACACAUGCAAGUCGAACGAGACCUUCGGGUCUAGUGGCGCACGGGUGCGUAACGCGUGGGAACCUGCCCUUAGGUUCGGAAUAACUCCCCGAAAGGGGUGCUAAUACCGGAUAAUGUCUUCGGACCAAAGAUUUAUCGCCUUUGGAUGGGCCCGCGUUGGAUGAGCUAGUUGGUAGGGUAAAAGCCUACCAAGGCGACGAUCCAUAGCUGGUCUGAGAGGAUGAUCAGCCACACUGGGACUGAGACACGGCCCAGACUCCUACGGGAGGCAGCAGUGGGGAAUAUUGGACCAUGGGCGCAAGCCUGAUCCAGCAAUGCCGCGUGAGUGAUGAAGGCCUUAGGGUUGUAAAGCUCUUUUACCCGGGAUGAUAAUGACAGUACCGGGAGAAUAAGCUCCGGCUAACUCCGUG
rnacentral:rRNA from 1 species